rnacentral:rRNA from 1 species
CCUACGGGCGGCAGCAGUAGGGAAUCUUCGGCAAUGGACGGAAGUCUGACCGAGCAACGCCGCGUGAGUGAAGAAGGUUUUCGGAUCGUAAAGCUCUGUUGUAAGAGAAGAACGAGUGUGAGAGUGGAAAGUUCACACUGUGACGGUAUCUUACCAGAAAGGGACGGCUAACUACGUGCCAGCAGCCGCGGUAAUACGUAGGUCCCGAGCGUUGUCCGGAUUUAUUGGGCGUAAAGCGAGCGCAGGCGGUUAGAUAAGUCUGAAGUUAAAGGCUGUGGCUUAACCAUAGUACGCUUUGGAAACUGUUUAACUUGAGUGCAAGAGGGGAGAGUGGAAUUCCAUGUGUAGCGGUGAAAUGCGUAGAUAUAUGGAGGAACACCGGUGGCGAAAGCGGCUCUCUGGCUUGUAACUGACGCUGAGGCUCGAAAGCGUGGGGAGCAAACAGGAUUAGAGACCCAGUAGUC